AAUAUGGGAUGAUGGGGGCAACCCUGAUCCAGCCAUGCCGCGUGUGUGAAGAAGGNCUNNGGAUUNUNAAGCACUGUAAUUUGNNNNNAAGGGCUUUAGGUUAAUACCCUGAAGUUUUGACGUUACCAACAGAAUCAGCACCGGCUACCUCUGUGCCAGCAGCCUCUGUAAUACAGAGGGUGCAAGCGUUAAUCGGAAUUACUGGGCGUAAAGAGCGCGUAGGUGGUUCAGUAAGAUGGGUGUGAAAUCACCGGGCUUAACCUGGGAACUGCUUUCAUAACUGCUGAGCUAGAGUACGGUAGAGGGUAGUGGAAUUUCCUGUGUAGCGGUGAAAUGAGUAGAUAUAGGAAGGAACACCAGUGGCGAAGGCGACUACCUGGACUGAUACUGACACUGAGGUGCGAAAGCAUGGGGAGCAAACAG
rnacentral:rRNA from 1 species